rnacentral:lncRNA from 1 species
UGCAUGUUCGAAUAUGUUGUUUUUCAUUUGUGUCCUAACUUUUGGCUGAGUUCAUUUGAGAUCCUCUGGGUGGAUGAUUUUUGCUUUAUUCAUAAUUCUUGUUUAUUAGAAAAGCAAACCCCAUCACCUCUCCUCAUUCCCCCCUCAGGUUUAGAGUUACAAAAGUGGAGCACAAGUCAAACCAGAAGGAACGGAGAAGCCUGAUGUCUGUUAGUGGGGCUGAAACCGUCAAUGGGGAGGUGCCGGCAACACCUGUGAAGAGAGAACGCAGUGGCACAGAGUAGCAGCAAUGACUUGACUUGAAGAGCUCUAAGAGACUGAAAACUUAUAUGAAGUUGCCUUGGGAAUAUUUUUAUAUAUUUUAUACAGUUUCUAUCAUGGAGUCAGCAGGCACGUGGAGAAAACCUAAAAGGGAAUAUUAUUGCUGCGCCGUAUACAGAAUUCAGUUUGCUUUGAAACAAGUUUUGGUUGAAAGAGUCUGUUGAAAAUUUUAUUAUACUUCCAGGGAAGGAAAGAGCUGUUUUUAUCUUCUUAACCACUCCCAGCCUCUACUCUUCCCAGCCCCUAAUCCCAGGCCUUGGUGUACACACUGUAGUUUUUCCAUUAUGAUGAGUAUGUGCAGUGAUACUAUUCAUGUACAGUCUGAGCUUAUGCUCAGGGGUGUGUGUGUAUAUGUGUAUACAUGUGUGCACGUGAGUGUGUGUUUCUUUUUCCAGUUCCUGCAUCCUAUUUUGACACUGGUUGUAAGAAGAUCUUGAUACAUACAGGUUAGCUGUUACAAAAGAUAAAAGAUGAAUCUUCAGUGGUAAAAGCUCAGUGGAAAUAAUCUAGUUUAGCCCUGAGGAGUUGAUUCCCCAAGGGACCAUGGAGUCAGAUGGGACCAGAUGCUAGACUUUGGAUUCCUUGACCACAACUUCAGCAUUAACUCCUGCCACCACCAUGUCACUCCACAGCACUUACACAUUUUGAGAAGGUUUUUUUUUUUUUUUUUUGAGGCAGAGUCUUGCUGUGUCCCCUAGGCUGGAGUGCAGUGGCACAAUCUCCACUCACCUCCAUCUCCACCUCCCCAGGUUCAAGCGAUUCUCCUGCCUCAGCCUCCCAAGUAGCUGGGAUUACAGGCAUGCACCACCACGCUCGACUAAUUUUUGUAUUUUUAGUAGAGACGGGGUAUCACUAUAUUGGUCAGGCUGGUCUUGAACUCCUGACCUCAGGUGAUCUACCCGCCUCGGCCUCCCAAAGUGCUGGGAAUAUAGGCGUGGGCCACUGCACCCGGUUUUUUUUUUUUUUUUUUUUUUUUUUUUUAACCUUUAGCUGAGCGAUUCUUGGUUAAUCCAUUGAAUAAAGGAGAAAAUGGUUUAAAGUCACACACACACAAAUUUGUUUGGACAACCCAAGGCCAAAACAAAAGAACCCUGCUUCUCUCUCUCUUUUUUUUUUUUUUUUUUUUUGAGGCGGAGUCUCGCUCUGUCGCCCAGGCUGGAGUGCAGUGGCACAAUCUCAGCUCACUGCAAGCUCCACCUUCUGAGUUCACGCCAUUCUCCUGCCUCAGCCUCCUGAGUAGCUGGGACUACAGGUGCCCACCACCACGCUCAGCUUAUUUUUUUUGUAUUUUUAGGAGAGACGGGGUUUCACCGCAUUAGCCAAGAUGGUCUCGAUCUCCUGACCUCGUGAUCCACCCGCCUCGGCCUCCCAAAGUUCUGGGAUUACAGGCGUGAGCCACUGCGCCCGGCCUAGAACCCUGCUUCUCAUAUAAGAUGGGCCUGCACCUACCUCUGGCAUGUUUUUCUUCGUGUAUUUCCUGUUUUUCACCCUGUAACUAAUGCUCAUUAUUUAAAACACUCCAGUUACUUUUCCCUUUAGGCCUGGCAAACUUUUUCUUUUUUUUUUUUUUAUAACUGUACAUUUUACAAAACACCUGAAAGGACCCAGAGGCAUAAAUAGUAUUACAUGAUUUAUGGUAGCUCUGGGGUGAGCUGUGGGGGAGGCCAGUUACAAGGUCUCCAAGACCUGCCUCCAUGUCAGUGUUGGGGGUGCCUUGAGCACUUCUUUUAUUUCAUAUAGGAAAAUGCACAUCUUUCAUUUGUCUCCCAAAAGAUGAUUUCCAUAAAAAUAUACUUCAAAGUAUUUACUGUACAUAGACUUCAAUGAUUUUAUUUCCAGCAUCAAACUAAACAUUUCUAACCUUUUAAAUAAAUGGGGAAUUUAGUUUCAUGAGAAUUUUUACUGACAACUAAUAAACACUGUAUGUGUACACAUUCAUAUACACUGUGGACUGGAGAAAGUCAGUAUGGAAAUAAAUUUCACUGAGAUCCAGAAAGUAGCAAUAUAGGACUUUUAGGGGUAUGUAUUAGUGUAAAUAAUAUAUGUGCAGUCUA